rnacentral:rRNA from 1 species
AGAGUUUGAUCCUGGCUCAGGAUGAACGCUGGCGGCGUGCUUAACACAUGCAAGUCGAACGAACCUUCGGGUUAGUGGCGGACGGGUGAGUAACGCGUGGGAAUCUGCCCUCAGGAGGGGGAUAACGGCUGGAAACGGCCGCUAAUACCCCAUAUGCCGCGAGGUGAAAUGAAUUUCGCCUGAGGAUGAGCCCGCGUCUGAUUAGCUAGUUGGUGGGGUAAAGGCCUACCAAGGCGACGAUCAGUAGCUGGUCUGAGAGGAUGAUCAGCCACACUGGGACUGAGACACGGCCCAGACUCCUACGGGAGGCAGCAGUGGGGAAUUUUCCGCAAUGGGCGAAAGCCUGACGGAGCAACGCCGCGUGAGGGAUGAAGGCCUCUGGGCUGUAAACCUCUUUUCUCAAGGAAGAAGACCUGACGGUACUUGAGGAAUAAGCCACGGCUAAUUCCGUGCCAGCAGCCGCGGUAAUACGGGAGUGGCAAGCGUUAUCCGGAAUUAUUGGGCGUAAAGCGUCCGCAGGCGGCCUUGUAAGUCUGUCGUUAAAGCGUGGAGCUUAACUCCAUUUCGGCGAUGGAAACUACAAGGCUUGAGUGUGGUAGGGGCAGAGGGAAUUCCCGGUGUAGCGGUGAAAUGCGUAGAUAUCGGGAAGAACACCAGUGGCGAAGGCGCUCUGCUGGGCCAUAACUGACGCUCAUGGACGAAAGCCAGGGGAGCGAAAGGGAUUAGAUACCCCUGUAGUCCUGGCCGUAAACGAUGAACACUAGGUGUCGGGGGAAUCGACCCCCUCGGUGUCGUAGCCAACGCGUUAAGUGUUCCGCCUGGGGAGUACGCACGCAAGUGUGAAACUCAAAGGAAUUGACGGGGGCCCGCACAAGCGGUGGAGUAUGUGGUUUAAUUCGAUGCAACGCGAAGAACCUUACCAGGGUUUGACAUCCUGCGAACCCCUGAGAAAUCGGGGGGUGCCUUCGGGAGCGCAGAGACAGGUGGUGCAUGGCUGUCGUCAGCUCGUGUCGUGAGAUGUUGGGUUAAGUCCCGCAACGAGCGCAACCCACGUCGUUAGUUGCCAGCAUUAAGUUGGGCACUCUAGCGAGACCGCCGGUGAUAAACCGGAGGAAGGUGUGGAUGACGUCAAGUCAUCAUGCCCCUUACAUCCUGGGCUACACACGUACUACAAUGCUACGGACAAAGGGCAGCAAGCUCGCGAGAGUAAGCAAAUCCCAUAAACCGUGGCUCAGUUCAGAUCGUAGGCUGCAACUCGCCUACGUGAAGGAGGAAUCGCUAGUAAUCGCAGGUCAGCAUACUGCGGUGAAUACGUUCCCGGGCCUUGUACACACCGCCCGUCACACCAUGGAAGUUGGCCAUGCCCGAAGUCGUUACUCCAACCCUUGUGGAGGAGGACGCCGAAGGUGGGGCUGAUGACUGGGGUGAAGUCGUAACAAGGUAGCCGUAA